UAAUGUAAGAACUGCUGGAUAAGAACUGUUAAUUCUAGAACGAGGAAGACAACACAUCAAGAGAGGUUUCAGUUGCAGAUUCUUCUCAGUUUGACUUGCAUAGCCAGACUUGUGGACAAAAGUAAAGGAAACAUCUUUUUGGGGGCUCAUUUGAAGUCAGUUAAUUGAAUUAGGGAGUGAAGAGAGAGACAUGGAGGCUGUUUUUGGAUUGUUGGUGAUGAUAGCAGGAGUGUCUCAUGGCAUGUUGACCUCCUCCUGUGAUGCUAGAGAGGAUGGAUGUCAGUGUUAUGGAGCCCUGGGAGGAACUGUCUAUCUCCAGCUGACUGAUACCACAGUAUCUGAACUCACAUUUAAAAAAGAUCCCACUGGUGUAACUACAGAGAUACUCCGAAUGAGAAGAAACAAAAUGAUCAUCGCUGACUCCAUUAAAGCUAGAUCAGAGUUCUUCAUGAACAACAAGACAUUUAGGAUGGAUAACACCGAAAGGACGGAUUCUGAUGAAUACCUCUUAGAAACAUUUCAUUCUAAUGGAAGUUCAAUGGCCACCAGAAGACUACACCUGUUCAUUGAAGGACCUGGGUUCAAUGCGUUUGUUUAUUUCCAAUUUGCUGAAGUCUUCAUUCUGCUGGCAAUCUGUCUGGGAUCAUACUGUUUCUACAAGAAGAAGACUUGUCCUCAAGAGCAAUUAAGCAGAGGAAUAUGAAGUCUCUCAGGUGGAUCACGGUGGGACUCAGAGGAGGGUGUUGAUGUCCUAAGAGUUGCUAUGGGGAUCAACCAGGCUUUGAGAUUACCUUAUGAAAUAAUGACGAAUGGUGAUAUAAUACUGCUUAUCACUCUUUUAAUCUUGAAACUCAAAGCACAGUAAUGUAUUAAAACCAAAGAAAUACCAUUCUAUUCUUUUGACCUUUAUUUUCUUAUUUUCAUUUAUGUUCCUUCAGACAUGCCCUUAACAAAAUGAAUAGUGAAUGAUCUAUGUGAUGGUGUUUAUUUAAUCGAUUUUAACUCUUGAAUUGAAGUGUUUUAGUGCUGUUUCUUUUGUUCAUACUGUUACAUAAACAAAUGAAAAAGUUGUUUUUGAAAAUAUAUAUUUUUUCAUAUUCUAAUGUUACCUUCUUAAGCACAAACAAAUCAUUAUUUUACCAAUAGCAUACAUCACAUGUAUUUAUUAGACUGUUAGAAUGUUGACAUCUGAAAGACUCAUCAUUGGCUUGAAGGGGGUCCCUCUAGGCUUUUCUAGUGUUAAGUAUCAUUUAAAAUGUUAUAGGAGUGUAUAUUACAGUGUAUUGAUUGCAUUAAAGGGUUUAUUUUUUUGAUGCUUGUGGUAUACAGUAACAGAAAUGUUCGAGAGUUGAAAGGCUUUUUAAUUGGGGAACGGUAAGAUAUGCUUUCAUUGUUAUUGUAACUUGAUCAUGUUUGAUGUAUUGGUGUGAUUUUAAUGCAUAGAAAUAAAAGCAAAAAAACUUUUAAAACAUUGGAAA